GUUGAAUUAAAGGGACCCAAGGUUUGGCCAUACCCAGUGGUUGAGACGUCCUGUGCUGUCAUGUGAUCCCGCUUUUGUUUCUUUACGUAAGGGUCUGCUGUUGAAGAGACAGACACGUUACGCAGUGCCUAUACCUCCUCAGCUUUUGCCUAAGUCAUGUCCUUAUUGUUGAAUACUGAUUGUCGCCUCCCUCUCUUGCUCUUGCCUCUUUGCACCAAUUCAACAACUAAUCAUGAUCGCAACUGCAUCUCAUUGAGGUAAAUACUCAUUGCUUUGUUUUUGGCCGCUCUUUGUACAAAGUAUAGGCUGAGAAUUACACUAAAGAUUUAUGUCAAACGCUCUUCAAUUUAGGAUUUGUUAAUGAUCUCCA